rnacentral:rRNA from 1 species
UCGGGAAUUUUGGACAAUGGGCGAAAGCCUGAUGGAGCGACGCCGCGUGGAGGAUGAAGGCCUUCGGGUUGUAAACUCCUGUCAUGAGGGAACAAGAAAGUGAUAGUACCUCAAGAGGAAGAGACGGCUAACUCUGUGCCAGCAGCCGCGGUAAUACAGAGGUCUCAAGCGUUGUUCGGAUUUACUGGGCGUAAAGGGUGCGUAGGCGGUGGCGUAAGUCGAGUGUGAAAUCUUCCGGCCUAACCGGAAAAACUGCACUCGAUACUGCGUCACUAGAGGACUGUAGAGGAGACUGGAAUUCACGGUGUAGCAGUGAAAUGCGUAGAUAUCGUGAGGAAGACCGGUGGCGAAAGCGAGUCUCUGGGCAGUUCCUGACGCUGAGGCACGAAGGCUAGGGGAGCAAACGGGAUUAGAUACCCAUGUAGUCCCUGAGCGGGCUGGCAAGGCGCAU